AAUCAUACUCUAAAAUUUUAAGCAAAUUGUAACUGGACAGAUUAUUCUUAUGAUGCAAUCAGAUAUGCAAAGCAAUUUUCUACUUUCAUGCCACGAUCUUAUAAGUAUGGCAAAGUACCAGAUGUUAACCUUAUGGUUUUCUUUUACAAAUUGUGACUUGGAUGGAGGGUUGUCUUAUUGGCACCCACAACAACAAUAUAUAUUUCCACUAUAUUCAAUUAGAGGUCAAUAUCUAUUGAUGCAAUUAUUGAUGCAAUCGGAAGUGAAAAUCUAAUUAGCAAAGCCAUUUUGUAGUUUCAUGCUUCAGAUACUGACACAUGACAAAUGGUUUGUUUACAUCCUAGCUGGCAACAUCUCUAUGCAUGAUAAAAAAGUAACAAACUUCAUCUUUUAUUAAAAGAUUAUUUUAUCAGUGAUACUGAUUGAUGUAGGUAUAAACAGCCGCCCACGAAA
rnacentral:lncRNA from 1 species